AGGCUCUGGAUGUUACAGUGCAGAUCAGGAAAACGUACAGGCCAAGGGGCGGUAAAGAUUGCUGUGGACAUGGUUAAUGAGGGUCUUGUUGAGCGCCGUCAAGCGAUUAAGAUGGUAGAGCCAGGCCACCUGGACCAGCUUCUCCAUCCUCAGGUAAUGGAUAACCAUGAGGCCCGUAAACUGAUUGUGCCUUACUUGAAAUUCAGUACUCUUAUAAGUUUGGCCUUACUUGGAAUUCACUUUAUAAGUUAAGUACUGGAUAUGUAUUAACAUCACUGUUUUAAUCUUGUCCAAUGAAAACCAGUUUGAGAACCCAUCAGCAUACAAGGAUCAAGUAAUCGCUACAGGCUUACCAGCUUCACCUGGGGCUGCUGUGGGCCAAAUUGUAUUUACUGCAGAGGACGCUGAAGCAUGGCAUGCCCAAGGGAAAGCUGCUAUCCUGGUAAACACCAUUUUAUCCUCAUUUUUAAGAAAAAAAGGUCUUCUGCAGUUUUUGUGUCAUUUUGAUCUGGACUUUGUGCUUCGAUGAAAAGAUCUGUUAAUUGAGCAAAACUGGUCUAUUUACUGGACCUGUUAGAAUAGUUGCUUGCAGAGUUACAGUCACAAAAAUCCCACUUAUCACAGACAGCCAUUUUUGAAAUGCAUAUGGAAGCUCCAAGUCGUAUCGCUUCAUCUUUUGCAUUCUGAGAAUUUUUUCUUUGCAAAUAUAUAGGUGAGGACAGAGACCAGCCCAGAGGAUGUUGGUGGCAUGCACGCAGCUGUUGGAAUUCUUACAGCAAGAGGUGGGAUGACCUCUCAUGCUGCUGUGGUAGCACGUGGUUGGGGAAAAUGUUGUGUCUCAGGAUGCUCAAGCGUUCUCGUAAAUGAUGCUGAGAAGGUGAAUAGAAUUCUUGUUUGCACAUCUUCUUCUUUGUAGAAGGUGACAUGCCAUGUUAAAGUUUGUAACAGGAUUAUGACAUUCUUUGUAGAUGUGCUCCGUCCGCCAUUUUUAAGUUCUUAUUAACGAGAUUUUGAGGAUGUAGAUGUUUCCUUACUUUGCUAUGUCUACAUUUACAGUCUGUAGUGAUUGGAGACAAGGUGAUGCAUGAAGGUGAGUGGCUAUCACUGAAUGGAUCUACUGGUGAAGUCAUCGUGGGGAAGCAGCCACUUUCCCCACCAGUCCUCAGUGGUGAUCUGGGAACCUUCAUGUCCUGGGUAGAUGAAGUUAGGCAACUGAAGGUAAAUUCCUAGAAAUAACAAAUAUGUAAUAUUAGUUAAAACAUGGAUACAAACUGUUGGAAGUAGAAACCAACAAAAAGGGCAUCAGAUUAUUUAUUCAGACAGGCCAAAGCUAGUCAACCCCACUACACAUUUUUCAACAGAAAUGCUUAUUCGUACAUAUGAUCCACCUUCCAGGUUUUGGCUAAUGCGGAUACCCCUGAGGAUGCACUGACAGCAAGAAACAAUGGGGCAGAAGGAAUUGGACUAUGCCGGACGGAGCACAUGGUAUGUAUUUUAGUUACUGUCCAAUAUCUUUUGGGUGGGAUCUUGGAAAACUUACUCUUUCUUGAAUUCCUUCGUCGAACAGUUGGGUAAACUUUAAGGACCUCCCGUUCUAGUCUCAUGUUCUCCUUUUCUGCACUUUGGCAGUUCUUUGCUUCGGAUGAGAGGAUUAAGGCUGUGAGGCAGAUGAUUAUGGCUCCCACACUUGAACUGAGGCAGAAGGCACUAGAUCGUCUUUUGCCUUAUCAGAGGUCUGACUUUGAAGGCAUUUUCCGUGCUAUGGAUGGUAUGUGAAAAUCACGAUGCAUUCAUUUACAUGCUCUCCAAUUGAACUGGAUGCACUAGUGUUACUGAACAUAACAAGAGUAAGCAACCUUCUUAAAUAGACAACAUUGACUACUAAUGUAAAGUGAAAAGGUAGACAAGUUUUAAACCUUAGGAUGCAAAAUACUUCAAAAAUAAGAACGAAAUUGGGCCAGUAACAUAUUGCAUCAAUUAUUUAACUUGGUAACAUAAAGUUCUGCUAUGAUUUAUCCAUUAGUUUUUUUUAAUCUUUUAUAGCGAGUGGUAUAUGUACAUGUUUCAUGGAAACAGAUAUAGAAUUAAACUACUAGAAUAAAUUUUAACAUGUAUUGUAGUUAGUUCCACAGUAUGUAUUUUAAAGUGCGGAAUGGAUUUGAACAUUAUUUUUUUUGCAUUUCAGGGCUUUCAGUGACUAUUCGGCUUCUGGACCCCCCACUUCAUGAGUUUCUUCCUGACGGGAAUGUUGAAGACAUUGUGCGUGAAUUAUGUUCUGAAACUGGAGCCAAUCAGGAGGAAGCCCUUGCAAGAAUUGAAAGUCUUUCAGAAGUAAAUCCAAUGCUUGGUUUCCGUGGGUGCAGGUUGGUUUUUGUGCUCCGUUUAAAUCAGUCACCCCCCCUCCUUGAUCCAUUUGGUUCCCUUGUUAGUGAAAUAUUAAAAAGAAUAAACUCUGUAUAUUUACCUCGACUAAUAUUGGAACUGCUAAAAUUCCAGGCUCGGUAUAUCAUAUCCUGAGCUAACAGAAAUGCAAGCCCGUGCCAUCUUUGAAGCUGCUAUAGCGAUGACCAACCAGGGUGUUCAAGUUUUCCCAGAGAUAAUGGUUCCUCUUGUUGGGACACCUCAGGCAUGCAUCUUUAUUUCCUUAUUUGUGCAUAUGGUAUCUCUGCAGUUCAUGGUGUUCAAAAUGACAAAAUCAAAAUUGAAUAAACAACCAAGUUCUGUACACAUGUAAUUUACGAUUUUAUGCAAACAUCAAGUUGACCUACACCCAAUUUCCCACCAAAUUCAUUUCUUGAAAUUUUCUCUCUCGAAUUCUAAGUUUAUUGCUUUCACUUGAUUUUUCCUUCAGACAUCUGACAUUUGACUUUUGCAGGAACUGGGGAAUCAAGUGGCCCUUAUCCGUGAAACUGCUAACAAAGUUUUCGCUGCUCUGGGUAAAACCAUUGACUACAAAAUUGGAACUAUGAUUGAAAUUCCGAGGGCAGCUCUAGUAGCUGAUGAGGUAGGAAGCAUCUAACUCCCUUCAGAAUAAUCUUAAAUAUUGCUGUUUAGGUUUAGCUUUUAGAUCAUAUUUUUCAUGAAUGGUUUAGUAAUAGAACCCCGGAUUUUUACUCUAAAACAUGUGAAUAGUAACUGAUGGUAUGAAUUUAUUAAGUGCAAAUAAUAAGUUUAUCCUCUAAUUUAAAAAAAAAACUGACAUUCUUGUUUUGGUUUCACAACCUGACAGAUAGCAGAGCAGGCUGAAUUCUUCUCUUUUGGAACGAACGACCUCACACAGAUGACAUUUGGCUACAGCAGGGAUGAUGUGGGGAAGUUUCUUCCCAUUUAUCUGUCUCAGGGUAUCCUCCAACAUGAUCCCUUUGAGGUAAAAUUUUAGCAGCUCUCACCCUUCAGUUUUAGAUGAUAUACCUGCAUUUUCAUCAUCCACUCUUGUUUUUCAAGGAAUAUUUCCAUCAUCCACAGAUGCGAGCAUCUCAUGUCCUCUAGGCAUUUUUCAUGUCCUUGACUUUUGGUUACGUGCAUGCUCUGGUAAAAUUCAACCUAGUAACUUGCCCAUUGAAUGUUGAUAAACAUAUCAGGUGCUGGAUCAGAGGGGAGUGGGCGAGCUGGUUAAGUUUGCUACAGAGAGGGGUCGCAAAGCUAGGCCUAACUUGAAGGUUAGUUUUUGGGACUUGUGGACAUUGGCUCUUUUCCUUAGAAAUCAUGGUUUCAUUGUUUGGUGCUGUCUGCAAACAGGUGGGCAUCUGUGGAGAACACGGUGGGGAGCCUUCGUCAGUUGCAUUCUUUGCAAAGUCGGGGCUGGAUUAUGUUUCUUGCUCGCCUUUCAGGUUGGUCAAGUGAUAAACUCAAGAUACAACUCCCAGAUUCAUAACUGUAGCAAAACCUUAACUACUUUUUAUGAAAUAUCUUGUGCAGGGUUCCCAUCGCCAGGCUAGCUGCAGCUCAGGUGCUCGUCUGAGGGCACCGCCUCAUCGGCAACCGGAUCACCUGCUGUUGGUGCGUCUGGUGAAGAAUACUAAUACAAAGCCAUGGAACGGUGGAACUCUGCUGCCUGGCAAAGGCCGUUGUAUCUUGUAUGAAGUCUCCGUGCGCGUGCGCAUGUAAGACUUAAUGUGUGGUUUUCUGCAUUUUCCCUUGAACUACCAUGGUAAUGUAGUACCAAACAGAGAUGAUGACGAAGAACAAUCGAAUAAAUUAAUUGGCGAUUAC
rnacentral:lncRNA from 1 species